rnacentral:rRNA from 1 species
AGAGUUUGAUCCUGGCUCAGGACGAACGCUGGCGGCGUGCCUAAUACAUGCAAGUCGAACGAAGCUUUCUUUCACCGAAUGCUUGCAUUCACCGAAAGAAGCUUAGUGGCGAACGGGUGAGUAACACGUAGGCAACCUGCCCAAAAGAGGGGGAUAACACUUGGAAACAGGUGCUAAUACCGCAUAACCAUGAACACCGCAUGAUGUUCGUGUAAAAGACGGCUUUUGCUGUCACUUUUGGAUGGGCCUGCGGCGUAUUAACUUGUUGGUGGGGUAACGGCCUACCAAGGUGAUGAUACGUAGCCGAACUGAGAGGUUGAUCGGCCACAUUGGGACUGAGACACGGCCCAAACUCCUACGGGAGGCAGCAGUAGGGAAUCUUCCACAAUGGACGAAAGUCUGAUGGAGCAACGCCGCGUGAAUGAAGAAGGCCUUCGGGUCGUAAAAUUCUGUUGUCAGAGAAGAAUGUGCGUGAGAGUAACUGUUCACGUAUUGACGGUAUCUGACCAGAAAGCCACGGCUAACUACGUGCCAGCAGCCGCGGUAAUACGUAGGUGGCAAGCGUUGUCCGGAUUUAUUGGGCGUAAAGGGAACGCAGGCGGUCUUUUAAGUCUGAUGUGAAAGCCUUCGGCUUAACCGAAGUAGUGCAUUGGAAACUGGAAGACUUGAGUGCAGAAGAGGAGAGUGGAACUCCAUGUGUAGCGGUGAAAUGCGUAGAUAUAUGGAAGAACACCAGUGGCGAAAGCGGCUCUCUGGUCUGUAACUGACGCUGAGGUUCGAAAGCGUGGGUAGCAAACAGGAUUAGAUACCCUGGUAGUCCACGCCGUAAACGAUGAGUGCUAAGUGUUGGAGGGUUUCCGCCCUUCAGUGCUGCAGCUAACGCAUUAAGCACUCCGCCUGGGGAGUACGGUCGCAAGACUGAAACUCAAAGGAAUUGACGGGGGCCCGCACAAGCGGUGGAGCAUGUGGUUUAAUUCGAAGCAACGCGAAGAACCUUACCAGGUCUUGACAUCUUCUGACAAUUCCAGAGAUGGAACGUUCCCUUCGGGGACAGAAUGACAGGUGGUGCAUGGUUGUCGUCAGCUCGUGUCGUGAGAUGUUGGGUUAAGUCCCGCAACGAGCGCAACCCUUAUUGUCAGUUGCCAUCAUUAAGUUGGGCACUCUGGCGAGACUGCCGGUGACAAACCGGAGGAAGGUGGGGAUGACGUCAAAUCAUCAUGCCC